GCUUUGUCGAGGCGGACGGACAGCGAGCCGGACGCGGGUACACGCUGCGGUUUUGCGCGCGUGCCGAGAAAAUUCCCGCGGAGAAACACACGGGGAUUGGUGACCGGCGCGUGUCCUAACGCGCGCACAUCCGCAGUUGUGUGAGGCGUCCGUUCGGCGGGACAACAAUAGUAUUUAUCGCAUAGGCGUGACUUAGACCCGAACAGCGUUGUUUUUUAUCGGGCCGGGGGAGCUUUCUCUGCAGAAUUUCCCCCGAGAAAAGAUCCCACGCAGCGCGGUAUUCACUUUCGAUAACACGCAUCGCGUCGCCUAUCGGGCCGCUCGCCCGAUAUUAUAGUAUGAUAUUAUAUUUGUUAAUUUUUUCAAAAAAAAAUUUUAACAAUAAUAAUUGUUAAAAAUUCAUACCUCACCUCACCCCUUGUGACACGAUUAUUCGUCCGCCACUAACGGGAGUACUAAGCCUCCUCGACCGUCCCUCUAAUGUACCCUCUUCCCCGAUUGCGCGCCCUGAGUACCUAUUGCAGCGUAUAACUAUUUGUUUCCGCUACAAAAAUCGCGUUUUCGGCCAUCUUAAUAAUCUUUUAUAUACGAUUAUUGUUACUUUUUUUUUUUUUAUAUAUAUUAUACUUUUAUAGAAUCGACGAAAUCGAAUGUAGCACGUUAUAUUGUAAACACACACACACACACAAACACACAAACACACACACACACACGUACGCACGCACGCAAUAAUAUUAUAAUGCAAUCUUGUAAUCGCAAUAUCAUAGUUUUAAGGACGUCAUAAAAAAAAAAAAAAAAAAAAAAAAAAUUGUUAAAAAUACAAAUAAUAUACAGUUUUGUAUACUUACAAUGUUUGUUGUGCCCAUAUACAGAGUUAUAUAAAUUAUAUAUUAUUAUAUUUAUAUUAUACAUAUUAUUAUAAUAUGCAAUCGUCAAUUUAUUUAUUUAAUAUAAUAUAUUAUUAUUGUAAUAGUUCCUUUCACUGCGAUUUAUUAUUUAUAUUUUAUUUAUUUAUUUUUUAGUUUAGUCGUUCAAAAUUAUUGUAUUGUAUCUUAUGUAUAUAUUAUAUACUACGUUUUUAUUAUGUGCAAAUUUACUUUUUUUUUUUUUCUUUUUUUUUAAUUUUAUCGUUUAUUAAUCAUUGUACUACGUUAUUCAACAUUAUUGUACAAACACCACCGAAGAAAAUUUUUUGUCAUUGUCACUAUAACGUUAGGUAUAUUACAUUUUGGGCCACGCACGUUGCCGAAAAUCACGCACAGUGAAGAUAAAAAAAAUAAUAAUAAUAAUAACAAAAAAAAAAAAACCACACACACUCUUUUACUAAAUCAUACAAUAUUAUAUACCAUUUUAAACAAUUUUUUUUUUUUUUUUUAAAUAUAUUACACGCGGUACAUUUUUGUGCGUUUAAUCGAC